GACGAACGCUGGCGGCGUGCUUAACACAUGCAAGUCGAACGGAAAGGCCCUGCUUUUGUGGGGUGCUCGAGUGGCGAACGGGUGAGUAACACGUGAGUAACCUGCCCUUGACUUUGGGAUAACUUCAGGAAACUGGGGCUAAUACCGGAUAGGAGCUCCUGCUGCAUGGUGGGGGUUGGAAAGUUUCGGCGGUUGGGGAUGGACUCGCGGCUUAUCAGCUUGUUGGUGGGGUAGUGGCUUACCAAGGCUGUGACGGGUAGCCGGCCUGGGAGGGUGACCGGCCACAUUGGGACUGAGAUACGGCCCGGACUGCUACGGGAGGCAGCAGUGGGGAAUAUUGCACGAUGGGCGGAAGCCGUAUGCAGCAACGCCGCGUGCGGGAUGACGGCCUUCGGGUUGUAAACCGCUUUCGCCUGUGACGAAGCGUGAGUGACGGUAAUGGGUAAAGAAGCACCGGCUAACUACGUG
rnacentral:rRNA from 1 species